ACGACCGCACGACCUCUCCCCUCCUCGCACGACCUCUCUCGCCCCCUCCUCCCCGCACGUCUCUCGCCCCUUCCUCCUCCCGCGCCGUUCGCCUCGCGCCACCGUUAGCUGCAGGAGGCGCCCCACCGCGCCCGGCGACGCCUCCCGCCGCCGCCGCCGAAGCCGUAACCUCCCCUGCCUCUUCUCCGCCUCACCCCUGUGCCUCCCAACCGCCAAGCCGCCGCCGCCUCAUCUUCUCGCUGCACGGCCGGGCGACGCGGCGAGGCGCGCGGGAGCUCUUCGGCCGGAGACACGGCGAGGCGCGCGGGACGGCCGCUGGCGAACGUGGCCGGACCUGAGACUGUGGCGCGCGCUGCCACCUCCGCCCUCCCCCGGCCUUAUCUCCUACGGAACAGGCUACUCAUGCAUCGAUAGUACAACCAACCCCUUUCCGUGACAUAAUCAACACACGUACAAAAGGUACAUGUGUGACCUCGGCCUCAAUCUCUGCAAAUACACCUCAAAUGCACACUUCAGUCUACAAUACACACCAACUACGGAAAUGUGGUGUUUAAGAGAUGACAUCAGAGAAAAGCACCAAGACCAUUGUCUAUCAAGACGUCGCAGCAUUGAGUAAUUGUGUAUGUUAUUUUAGUGUGAGAGUUUAUAAAUUUUUAGUUGCGGCUUAGCUACUGUUUCAUCCAUUUUAUCAUCGCAAACAUUUGUACCAGUCCCACUUUAUACCUAUGUCUUAUUUUAUGAUUAUUGGAUUUCCUUUAGCCCUUCUACAAUUCAGUUAGUCACUGUAAAGUGUCUUCUGUUUCUGCGGAUACACAAGUCGGUGUAGUCACACAUCAUCUUCAAUUUCUGUUAUCCAUAUCACUGCUCUUGGCCAUUGUCGGCAUCAUCAACACCGAGCACCAACGACAAGAGCCCAGUGGUGAACGAGGCCAAGAGAAUCCUGAGAAGCUGCAGCUGAAAGUAGCACUGGAGGUGGUGCCUGGGAGAAGCAGUGCAGGCAGUGGCCUAGAGGAGCGGAAGAGGUGUCUGGGACGAGCAUAGGAGGCAGCGGCGCAACAGUCGGGUGCAGGGGGCCCGGGAGAAGUGGAGGAACUGGUGGCCGGGAGCAAAAUUGUUGGCGGUGGGAUCAGAGGAGGUAAUAACGCCCGGAGCAGCGCGGGCGGCAAGGGAGGAAACAAGUAUUGAGCUGGCCUAAGUGGCAAUUUUAUCCAUGUAGUCCCUUCGUAAACUAAUAUAAGAGUGUUUAGAUCACUACUUUAGUUAUCUAAACGCUCUUAUAUUAGUUUACAGAGGGAGUACAAAAUACUAAGAGGAAUAUGUACAUGUACUGCUUUAUUAAUUGGUGAUAUACCUACACACUUUCUCCUGGAAAUUUCUUUCACUUGACAUGAUAGUCA